AUUGAACGCUGGCGGCAGGCUUAACACAUGCAAGUCGAGCGAACGGCGGACGGGUGAGUAAUGUCUGGGAAACUGCCUGAUGGAGGGGGAUAACUACUGGAAACGGUAGCUAAUACCGCAUACCAUCGGAUGUGCACAGAUGGGAUUAGCUAGUAGGUGGGGUAAAGGCUCACCUAGGCGACGAUCCCUAGCUGGUCUGAGAGGCUGACCAGACACAAUGGAAAUUAGACGCGGUCCAGAAUCCUUCGGGAGGCAGCAGUGGGGAAUAUUGCACGAGGGGGGAAAGCCUGAUGCAGGCAUGCCGCGUGUAUGAAGAAGGCCUUCGGGUUGUAAAGUACUUUCAGCGGGGAGGCGUUAACCGCAGAAGAAGCACCGGAUAACUCCGUGCCAGCAGCCGCGGUAAUUC
rnacentral:rRNA from 1 species